CUCUUGGUCUGGCUGAAUGUCUCCAACAAAGAUCACUUCCCAGUCCAUCAGGGAGACAGUUGGUGGACAUCCCUGUCAUGAUUGUUUCUCUCUCCCAACCUGUUUCUGCUUGAUUGGGCUGGUUGGAUGACCCUGGAGAGCUUGAGUUCCAUAGUUGUCUCAGACAGGCAAGCUACCUUGGUCUCCAUGUUUCAUCUCAUCGGUGGGUGGAUUGCCUAGAAUGAGCAGUAGGCCACUGUGAUGGGCCUAGUCUUCUAAGACAGGUGGUGUCACAUUUCCUCUGCACUUCCUGUCUCAUUCUUGAGAAAUAUUCUCUCCUCUGCUCCCGGGUGGACUGACUCCCUGAAUCUUUUAGCCCCCUCCUGGAUCCUGGUGUUCUUUGAUUUUCCUUGACAUUGAUGGAAAGGUCACUUGUGCCCCCCUUCCAUCUGGCACAUGCCUGAACACCAUCUUGUGUUUCGCCAUUGCCCCAUAUGCCUUUGGUAACAAACAUUCACACCAUCUGCUCUGGGAUAUGCCAGUGCCAUGCGUGUUGGCAUUUGCUCCACUUUGGAAUCGCCCUUGUCCCUGUUUGCAUGUGUCCUGGAAAGAGAUGUGGUGAGCCUAUCCUUCUUCACCCAGAGGGGUCCAAAAUCGGAUCUGAAGAGGGGUCUUGAGAUACCAG
rnacentral:lncRNA from 10 species